AAGGACCUGGGUAUCCCCAAGCCUUUCGGGCCCCAGGUCGAGGAGGAGUGCUGCCUGGAGACACAUGUUCGAGGCCUGCUGGAGCCCCUGGGCCUUGCCUGCACCUUCAUUGAUGACAUCUCUGCAUACCACAAGUUUCUGGGAGAGGUUCACUGUGGUACCAACGUGCGCAGGAAGCCCUUCACCUUCAAGUGGUGGCACAUGGUGCCCUGACUGCCAGGGGCCCUGGCCUUCCUUCCUUCCCUGCGAUCUCCAGGUCCUUCCUGUGUCCCCAAGUCCUUCCCCUACAAGAAGCGGGUGGGAUUGGGAUUGUGCCUUGCUGUCCCCUGGAGAAGGACUUUAGUGUCCAUUGAAGCCACCCCGAGUAAGUCCAACCGUUCCCUACCCCUGAAAAUAGCUAGACAUGUGGUUAGUGUGCAGAACUUUGGAAGGGAAAACCAGACUUCAACAAAUCAUGUAGUCGCACUGUCCCCCCAAAGAAUUCUCAGCCUCUACUCCAGAUCAGAAAGAGGGGAGAGAGAAGGGAGACUCUGAGGUCAUUGGCUCGCCCAGCACCCAUCUGACAUUCAAGAUAGACCAGGAGGACCAGGGCCAGGGUCCUGGCGUACCUCGGAUGGUACCAUCUUUUCAAGCUUACCUACCUUGGGGCCUCCUGGUGGCAUCCUGCACCCGUUCAUUCCUUAAGGCUUCCCAUACACACUGUGUCCCCACCCUACCCCACCCCCACCCCCUGAGGGUCCA
rnacentral:lncRNA from 1 species